GUUAGUGGAAGCGUCUGGAAAGGCGCGCGAUACAGGGUGACAGCCCCGUACACAAAAAUGCACAUGCUGUGAGCUCGAUGAGUAGGGCGGGACACGUGGUAUCCUGUCUGAAUAUGGGGGGACCAUCCUCCAAGGCUAAAUACUCCUGACUGACCGAUAGUGAACCAGUACCGUGAGGGAAAGGCGAAAAGAACCCCGGCGAGGGGAGUGAAAAAGAACCUGAAACCGUGUACGUACAAGCAGUGGGAGCACAGAGCAAUCUGUGUGACUGCGUACCUUUUGUAUAAUGGGUCAGCGACUUAUAUUCUGUAGCAAGGUUAACCGAAUAGGGGAGCCGAAGGGAAACCGAGUCUUAACUGGGCGUUAAGUUGCAGGGUAUAGACCCGAAACCCGGUGAUCUAGCCAUGGGCAGGUUGAAGGUUGGGUAACACUAACUGGAGGACCGAACCGACUAAUGUUGAAAAAUUAGCGGAUGACUUGUGGCUGGGGGUGAAAGGCCAAUCAAACCGGGAGAUAGCUGGUUCUCCCCGAAAGCUAUUUAGGUAGCGCCUCGUGAAUUCAUCUCCGGGGGUAGAGCACUGUUUCGGCAAGGGGGUCAUCCCGACUUACCAACCCGAUGCAAACUGCGAAUACCGGAGAAUGUUAUCACGGGAGACACACGGCGGGUGCUAACGUCCGUCGUGAAGAGGGAAACAACCCAGACCGCCAGCUAAGGUCCCAAAGUCAUGGUUAAGUGGGAAACGAUGUGGGAAGGCCCAGACAGCCAGGAUGUUGGCUUAGAAGCAGCCAUCAUUUAAAGAAAGCGUAAUAGCUCACUGGUCGAGUCGGCCUGCGCGGAAGAUGUAACGGGGCUAAACCAUGCACCGAAGCUGCGGCAGCGACACUGUGUGUUGUUGGGUAGGGGAGCGU
rnacentral:rRNA from 1 species